GGUCUUUCGUUAGUGUAGGAAAGAUCGAGCCUGCCCACUGAGGUAACUUGAAGGGCUGCAGUAUAUUAACUGUACAAAGGUAGCAUAAUCAUUAGUCUUUUAAUUGGGGACUGGAAUGAAAGGUUUGACAAACUUUAACUGUCUCUUUGGUAUUAAAUGAAUUUUUUUCUUUGUGAAAAAUCAGAGAUUAAUUAAAGGGACGAGAAGACCCUAUUAAACUUUUUUUAUUUUUGGUUAUUUUUUUAUUAAUGAAAAGGUUAGUUAAAUUGAAAUUUGCUGGGGCGGUAAGUUAUGUACGAUAUUUUUGUAUAACAUAUUAUUUGACUAGGAAGUAGAUCCAAAGGAUUGAUAAGGAGAAAUAGUUACUAUAGGGAUAACAGCGUAAUAUUUUUUGAGAGUUCAUAUUGACAAAAAUGUUUGCGACCUCGAUGUUGGAUUAAGAAGUCUUUUAGGUGCAGGAGCCUGGUGAGAUAGUCUGUUCGACUAUUAAAUUCUU
rnacentral:rRNA from 1 species